UACGGAGGGGGCUAGCGUUGUUCGGAAUUACUGGGCGUAAAGCGUACGUAGGCGGCUUUGUAAGUUAGAGGUGAAAGCCCGGGGCUCAACCCCGGAAUUGCCUUUAAGACUGGACAGCUUGAAUCGCGGAGAGGUGAGUGGAAUUCCCAGUGUAGAGGUGAAAUUCGUAGAUAUUCGGAAGAACACCAGUGGCGAAGGCGGCUCACUGGACGCUUAUUGACGCUGAGGUACGAAAGCGUGGGGAUCAAACAGG
rnacentral:rRNA from 1 species